rnacentral:rRNA from 1 species
GAUGAACGCUGGCGGCGUGCCUAAUACAUGCAAGUCGAGCGAACAGACGAGGAGCUUGCUCCUCUGACGUUAGCGGCGGACGGGUGAGUAGCACGUGGAUAACCUACCUAUAAGACUGGGAUAACUUCGGGAAACCGGAGCUAAUACCGGAUAACAUGUUGAACCGCAUGGUUCAACAGUGAAAGACGGUCUUGCUGUCACUUAUAGAGGGAUCCGCGCCGCAUUAGCUAGUUGGUAAGGUAACGGCUUACCAAGGCAACGAUGCGUAGCCGACCUGAGAGGGUGAUCGGCCACCCUGGAACUGAGCCACGGUCCAGACUCCUGCGGGAGGCAGCAGUAGGGAAUCUUCCGCAAUGGGCGAAAGCCUGACGGAGCAACGCCGCGUGAGUGAAGACGGUCUUCGGAUCUUAAAACUCUGUUAUUAGGGAAGAACAAAUGUGUAAGUAACUAUGCACGUCUUGACGGUACCUAAUCAGAAAGCCACGGCUAACUACGUG